rnacentral:rRNA from 1 species
AACGAACGCUGGCGGCAGGCUUAACACAUGCAAGUCGAGCGCCCCGCAAGGGGAGCGGCAGACGGGUGAGUGACGCGUGGGAAUCUACCCAUCUCUACGGAAUAACGCAUGGAAACGUGUGCUAAUACCGUAUACGUCCUUCGGGAGAAAGAUUUAUCGGAGAUGGAUGAGCCCGCGUUGGAUUAGCUAGUUGGUGGGGUAAAGGCCUACCAAGGCGACGAUCCAUAGCUGGUCUGAGAGGAUGAUCAGCCACACUGGGACUGAGAUACGGCCCAGACUCCUACGGGAGGCAGCAGUGGGGAAUAUUGGACAAUGGGCGCAAGCCUGAUCCAGCCAUGCCGCGUGAGUGAUGAAGGCCCUAGGGUUGUAAAGCUCUUUCACCGGUGAAGAUAAUGACGGUAACCGGAGAAGAAGCCCCGGCUAACUUCGUGCCAGCCGCCGCAGUAAAAC